GACGCUGGCGGCGUGCCUAACACAUGCAAGUCAACUUGACUGAAGGAGCAAUCUGACAGUAGAGUGGCGCAAGGGUACGUAACGCGUAAGUAACUUGCCCAAGGUAAGGAAUAACGUCGAGAAAUCGGCGCUAAUACCUCAUAAUGCAGCGGAUCCGCAUGGAUAUGUUGUUAAAGGUUUACCGCCUUGGGAUAGGCUUGCGUCUGAUUAGUUAGUUGGUGUGGUAACGGCACACCAAGGCUACGAUCAGUAACUGGUCUGAGAGGAUGAUCAGUCACACUGGAACUGAGACACGGUCCAGACUCCUACGGGAGGCAGCAGUGAGGAAUAUUGGGCAAUGCUCGAAAGAGUGACCCAGCAACGCCGCGUGGAGGAUGAAGGUAUUCUAUAUCGUAAACUCCUGUGAGAGCAGACGAAAGACAGAUUAUUAAUCUGGAUGACUGUAUGCUCAGAGGAAGCCCCGGCUAACUACGUG
rnacentral:rRNA from 1 species